GAUGAACGCUGGCGGUAUGCAUAACACAUGCAAGUCAAACGAAGCCUUCGGGCUUAGUGGCGGACGGGUGAGUAACGCGUGAGAAUCUGCCUUGAGGUUUGGGACAACAGUUGGAAACGACUGCUAAUACCAAAUAUGCACAACAGUAAAAGGGGUAAACCCCGCCUCGUGAUGAGCUCGCGUCUGAUUAGCUAGUUGGUGAGGUAAAGGCUCACCAAGGCUGCGAUCGGUAGCUGGUUUGAGAGAAUGACCAGCCACACUGGGACUGAGACACGGCCCAGACUCCUACGGGAGGCAGCAGUGAGGAAUUUUCCGCAAUGGGCGAAAGCCUGACGGAGCAAUACCGCGUGAGGGAGGAAAGCCUUCGGGUUGUAAACCUCUUUUCUCAGAGAAGAACACAAUGACGGUAUCUGAGGAAUCAGCAUCGGCUAACUCCGUGCCAGCCGCCGCCGUAAAAC
rnacentral:rRNA from 1 species